rnacentral:rRNA from 1 species
GACGAACGCUGGCGGCGUGCUUAACACAUGCAAGUCGAACGGAAAGGCCCUGCUUUUGUGGGGUGCUCGAGUGGCGAACGGGUGAGUAACACGUGAGUAACCUGCCCUUGACUUUGGGAUAACUUCAGGAAACUGGGGCUAAUACCGGAUAGGAGCUCCUGCUGCAGGGGGGGGUUUGGAAAUUUUCGGCGGUUGGGGAUGGACUCGCGGCUUAUCAGCUUGUUGGUGGGGUAGUGGCUUACCAAGGCUUUGACGGGUAGCCGGCCUGAGAGGGUGACCGGCCACAUUGGGACUGAGAUACGGCCCAGACUCCUACGGGAGGCAGCAGUGGGGAAUAUUGCACAAUGGGCGGAAGCCUGAUGCAGCAACGCCGCGUGCGGGAUGACGGCCUUCGGGUUGUAAACCGCUUUCGCCUGUGACGAAGCGUGAGUGACGGUAAUGGGUAAAGAAGCACCGGCUAACUACGUG